AUUUAAAUAGCUUAAUUAUUAGAGCAUUAUAUUGAAGAUAUAAGGGUAAAAU
rnacentral:tRNA from 1 species